rnacentral:rRNA from 1 species
GCUUGACAAUAACUUAGUUAAAUUAUAAAUUGUUAGUAUAACUUGAUUUUAGCUAGGGUCUGUUUCGUUGGGGCGACGAGAAUAUAACGAAUAACUGUUCUUUUAAAUAUAAUUACAAAGAUGAUUGGUGAAUGAUUGAUCCUCUAAUAGAGAUUAAAAGAUAAAGUU